UACGGAGGAUCCGAGCGUUAUCCGGAUUUAUUGGGUUUAAAGGGUGCGUAGGCGGGAGAUUAAGUCAGUGGUGAAAGUUUGCGGCUCAACCGUAAAAUUGCCAUUGAUACUGGUUUUCUUGAGUACAGUUGAGGUAGGCGGAAUGUGGUGUGUAGCGGUGAAAUGCAUAGAUAUACCACAGAACACCGAUUGCGAAGGCAGCUUACUAAGUUGUAACUGACGCUGAAGCACGAAAGCAUGGGGAUCAAACAGGAUUAGAUACCCUGGUAGUCCAUGCCGUAAACGAUGAUCACUAGCUGUUUGCGAUAUAAAGUAAGUGGCAAAGGGAAACCAUUAAGUGAUCCACCUGGGGAGUACGCCCGCAAGGGUGAA
rnacentral:rRNA from 1 species